GAUGAACGCUGGCGGCGUGCCUAAUACAUGCAAGUCGAGCGAAUGGAUUAAGAGCUUGCUCUUAUGAAGUUAGCGGCGGACGGGUGAGUAACACGUGGGUAACCUGCCCAUAAGACUGGGAUAACUCCGGGAAACCGGGGCUAAUACCGGAUAACAUUUUGAACCGCAUGGUUCGAAAUUGAAAGGCGGCUUCGGCUGUCACUUAUGGAUGGACCCGCGUCGCAUUAGCAAGUUGGUGAGGUAACGGCUAACCAAGGCAACGAUGCGUAGCCGACCUGAGAGGGUGAUCGGCCACACUGGGACUGAGACACGGCCCAGACUCCUACGGGAGGCAGCAGUAGGGAAUCUUCCGCAAUGGACGAAAGUCUGACGGAGCAACGCCGCGUGAGUGAUGAAGGCUCUCGGGUCGUAAAACUCUGUUGUUAGGGAAGAACAAGUGCUAGUUGAAUAAGCUGGCACCUUGACGGUACCUAACCAGAAAGCCACGGCUAACUACGUGCCAGCAGCCGCCGUAA
rnacentral:rRNA from 1 species